GACGUAGGGCGCGAGCGUUGUCCGGAUUUAUUGGGCGUAAAGAGCUCGUAGGCGGUUUGUCGCGUCUGCUGUGAAAACUCGGGGCUUAACUCCGGGCCUGCAGUGGGUACGGGCAGACUAGAGUGCGGUAGGGGAGACUGGAAUUUCUGGUGUAGCAGUGAAAUGCGUAGAUAUCAGAAGGAACAUCAGUGGCGAAGGCGGCUUCCUGGACCAAUACUGACGAUCAGGUGCGAAAGCGUGGGGAGCAAACAGG
rnacentral:rRNA from 1 species